GACGAACGCUGGCGGCGUGCUUAACACAUGCAAGUCGAACGGAAAGGCCCUGCUUGCAGGGUAUUCGAGUGGCGAACGGGUGAGUAACACGUGGGUGAUCUGCCCUGCACUUCGGGAUAAGCCUGGGAAACUGGGUCUAAUACCGGAUAGGAGCCAUUUUUAGUGUGAUGGUUGGAAAGUUUUUUUCGGUGUAGGAUGAGCUCGCGGCCUAUCAGCUUGUUGGUGGGGUAAUGGCCUACCAAGGCGGCGACGGGUAGCCGGCCUGAGAGGGUGGACGGCCAAAUUGGGGCUGAGAUACGGCCCCGACUCCUACGGGAGGCAACAGUGGGGAAAAUUGCACAAUGGGCGCAAGCCUGAUGCAGCGACGCCGCGGGGGGGAUGACGGCCUUCGGGUUGUAAACUCCUUUCGCUAGGGACGAAGCUUUUUGUGACGGUACCUAGAGAAGAAGCACCGGCUAACUACGUG
rnacentral:rRNA from 1 species